rnacentral:rRNA from 1 species
CAGUAACGGCGAGUGAAGCGGCAACAGCUCAAAUUUGAAAUCUGGCUUCGGCCCGAGUUGUAAUUUGCAGAGGAAGCUUUAGGCGCGGCACCAACUGAGUCCCCUGGAACGGGGCGCCACAGAGGGUGAGAGCCCCGUAUAGUUGGACGCCUAGCCUGUGUAAAGCUCCUUCGACGAGUCGAGUAGUUUGGGAAUGCUGCUCAAAAUGGGAGGUAAAUUUCUUCUAAAGCUAAAUACCGGCCAGAGACCGAUAGCGCACAAGUAGAGUGAUCGAAAGAUGAAAAGCACUUUGAAAAGAGGGUUAAAUAGCACGUGAAAUUGUUGAAAGGGAAGCGCUUGUGACCAGACUUGCGCCCGGCUGAUCAUCCGGUGUUCUCACCGGUGCACUCUGCCGGGCUCAGGCCAGCAUCGGUUCUCGCGGGGGGAUAAAGGUCCUGGGAACGUAGCUCCUCCGGGAGUGUUAUAGCCCAGGGCGUCAUGCCCUCGCGGGGACCGAGGUUCGCGCAUCU